GAACGGCCGCAUUCCCACGUGAAGGAGGAUUGGGAGCAAAGCGGAAGGUCAAAUAUUUUAAGUGCGUCCAUGUGACGAAAUUAUGAGAAAGGGGAGGCUCCGGAAAGCAGGGCUCUCACCUGACGUCCCACGGCCAAGAAGCAGCCAAGCUGCCAUCAAAACCCAGAUUCCCUGACGCAAAUCCAUGUGUGGCGUGACCAAUGGCUUGAGUGUGUUCCCAUGAUGGGGCUUCCGUGCCAUCACUGUGAGGAGAGCAGGCCUGGCUUAGCCCACCGGACCCCAGAGGAAGAUGAGAGGCACGUGGAGCAGAGCUGUGUUGCCCAGGAGAGAAUAGUAAACGGAAGAAUUUGCAGGCAGCGCAUCGUGAGGGGAUUUUCAGGGGUCUCCAGAGCUCGUGGUGCUCCAAGCCAUCCAGGUUUGGAAGUUGGAGAACCCAGCUGCCCAAUGAGUAACUCAAGCACGGCCCUCGGCUCCCUCCGGUCGGCCCCACCUCCAUUGGGACGCUCAGCAAGACCUACUGAUUGAACUCUGAACUCCUCCUCAGACCAUGGGGCCCAGGAGACCCAGGCUCUGGAAGCAAGGAGUCCUCAAUGGGCGUCUCUCGAAUGAACAGAUGACCUUUGACUUGCUAUCUUCUCUUUGUUCACGUCAUCAGCUGACUCCCAUCCAAAGGAGACGUGUCU
rnacentral:lncRNA from 1 species